rnacentral:rRNA from 1 species
CACGUAGGGGGCAAGCGUUGUCCGGAUUCAUUGGGCGUAAAGAGCUCGUAGGCGGUUCGAUAAGUCGGGUGUGAAACCUCCAGGCUCAACCUGGAGACGCCACCCGAUACUGUCGUGACUAGAGUCCAGUAGGGGAGCGUGAAAUUCCUAGUAUAACAAUAAAAUACACAAAUAUCAGAAGGAACACCAGCGGCGAAGGCGGCGCUCUGGGCUGGAACUGACGCUGAGGAGCGAAAGCGUGGGGAGCGAACAGG